UGGCGGACGGGUGAGUAAUGCUUAGGGAUCUGCCUUUAGGAGGGGGAUAACCAUUGGAAACGAUGGCUAAUACCGCAUAAUGUCUACGGACCAAAGGGGGCUUCGGCUCUCACCUAGAGAGGAACCUAAGUGAGAUUAGCUAGUUGGUGAGGUAAAGGCUCACCAAGGCGACGAUCUCUAGCUGUUCUGAGAGGAAGAUCAGCCACACUGGAACUGAGACACGGUCCAGACUCCUACGGGAGGCAGCAGUGGGGAAUAUUGCACAAUGGGGGAAACCCUGAUGCAGCCAUGCCGCGUGUGUGAAGAAGGCCUUCGGGUUGUAAAGCACUUUCAGUCGUGAGGAAAGGUUACCGGUUAAUACCCGUUAGCUGUGACGUUAGCGACAGAAGAAGCACCGGCUAACUCCGUGCCAGCAGCCGCGGUAAUACGGAGGGUGCAAGCGUUAAUCGGAAUUACUGGGCGUAAAGCGCACGCAGGCGGUUUGUUAAGCUAGAUGUGAAAGCCCCGGGCUCAACCUGGGACGGUCAUUUAGAACUGGCAGACUAGAGUUUUGGAGAGGGGAGUGGAAUUCCAGGUGUAGCGGUGAAAUGCAUAGAUAUCUGGAGGAACAUCAGUGGCGAAGGCGACUCUCUGGCCAAGAACUGACGCUCAUGUGCGAAAGUGUGGGUAGCGAACAGGAUUAGAUACCCUGGUAGUCCACACUGUAAACGCUGUCUACUAGCUGUUUGUGAAUUUAAUUCGUGAGUAGCGAAGCUAACGCGAUAAGUAGACCGCCUGGGGAGUACGGCCGCAAGGUUAAAAUCUCAAAUGAAUUNUC
rnacentral:rRNA from 1 species